UACAGAGGGUGCAAGCGUUGUUCGGAAUUAUUGGGCGUAAAGGGCGCGUAGGCGGUGCGGUAAGUCUGUAGUGAAAUCUCUGGGCUCAACUCAGAGUCUGCUGCAGAAACUGCCGUGCUUGAGUGUGGGAGAGGUGAGUGGAAUUCCCGGUGUAGCGGUGAAAUGCGUAGAUAUCGGGAAGAACACCCGUGGCGAAGGCGGCUCUCUGGGACGGUACUGACGCUGAGACGCGAAAGCGUGGGGAGCGAACAGG
rnacentral:rRNA from 1 species